AGUGUCUCUUGAACCAAUAUUCCAGUCUGUGCUUACAGGAUGCCUGGGAAGUGUUUGACAGAGCUGCACUGAGCUUAGCAGCUUCCCCUGACUUCUCACAUAAGAACAGCAAAUAUUUCAGGCCCUGACCUUUCUACAAAGAUUAACAAAUGAUCUCUCUGCUAUGGUGUCCUGCAGUGCUGUGAGAUGGUGACAUGGUAUACCUCAUCCCAAACCAUGCAGCAUAUGAAGCACUUUCAUGGGAUGCAGGGUGACAUUUUCUUCAGAAGUCACUGCAGUGCCUGUCUCUUAUUUUGAUGUGCUGUGCAGCUGGCAAGCUUUGUUACUGAUAUUUCACACAACUCUGGCAGACUAUUUAUCUGCGUGCCCUCUGCUGCUCCAGAGUCACCCUGAUGAAAAGUCACCUGUGGGCUGAGCUGCUGGUUGGAUGCCAGGCCCUGCCCUGUGUGAUUCCAGCUCAAAAACCUGCCACGGUCCUGCUGGCUAAGCAGUCACGGCUCGUGCUUCAGUGUGGUGCUCUGCUUGGGUCUUAUAUUUCAUUUGGACCUGCUCAGUUUUUAAGUCUCUCUGAAGCACAGAUGCUGCAGGGCUGGACCCCUGUGUGGGUGAUCAAACAAACAUACACACAGAUGUAUGUAUCCAGUCCCAUACUCUGUUCAGAUUCCCACUUUGCAGUUAAACUGUUCCUUACAGACAUGGUUCAGCGAUGCACGCUGCUUUUCCACAUCACCUGCUCUCAUGGAAUAUCUUGUGGCAUGUGACAAAAAGAAAAACACCUUCUUACUCUGUAUUUGCCCCCUGCCUUCAGUUAUACGUUGAAUUUAUAGGCAUCAGCUGUAUUAGUAAACUCAAGAGUGCCUGAGAAUUUUCCUGGAACUGGAUUCUCUGUGCUUGUAUGUCUUAGGACAGUCCCAAUAAAGAAUUUGAUGUGCUUAUGAUAUCCCCUGAACAUUUCAUACACUUGGCCAGACAAUGUUGGCACAACUAAAGAUUGCUUACAACCUGCUUGGUUUGAAGAGUGACAGUUUAUUUAUAGACCUGAGCUGGACUGUGGCAAUUGUUCUCAGUUCCUGUAGGUGUGAGUCACAUGUUCUGGAGCUGACAUGGCACUUCUGUUAGAUGGCUGCAGCAUCCUGCUUAUUUUACAGCACCAUCGACCCCGAUCCAUGUGUGUGGGCAAUACCCAUGUGACUCAGGAACACAAAACUUAUUCAACAAAGUGGUCCUUCAGUGUUCUGUGGGCAUCUGGCAGCUCCCUUCCACUCCUGCUGAAACCCUAAGUACUAUCAAGCGAAGAGCAGAAACUCCUCUUCCUGCAUUUCCCACCAGUUUAUUAUUCUCCUCUGGCUUGUGGAGAGUCCUCAAGGUUAACACCUGGAAAGUCCUGUGUUCAGAAGAGAACAGGCAGUGAUGUGCUCCCUGGUAAUCUGUUGAAAUUAUUGGCCUGCCUGUAUCCAGAACCAGCAUUUUUUGCUCAAGGCUCUGAUCAGCCACGUGCUCAGCAUCCUCCCUGUGUCAUCAUCUUGGGAAAUAUGCUCCGACACAGUAAGUAAGGGUAAAUUGUAAAAUUGCCUUGCCAAAGAAGGGCAACAGAGCUGGAGAAGGGUCUGGGGCACAAGUCUACUGAGGAGCAGCUGGGGGAGCUGGGGACGAUUAUUCUGGAGAAAAGGAGGCUCAAGGGGGACAUUAUCACUCUCUACAACUGCCUGAAAGGAAGCUGUAAACAGGUGGAGGUUGGUCUCCUCUCCCAGGUAAAAAGUGUCAGAGCAAGGCAAAAUGGCCUCGAUCUGCACUGUGGGAGGUCAUAUAAACUGUAAAUCACCUCAGCUCAGAAAAGGUGUACCUAAAUUUGGAUUCUAUAUAUGUUUACUUAUUCACUUCAGUAAUGAAAAAUGUGUUGUAAAUAUUUCUAAAUACAUGAUUUUGAACAAAACUAUUGCACACACAGUAUCCUGUGAAACAAAUCUCAGAAUUCCCUAACACAUGUGUACUUAUUGACAGACAAUAAUAAACCAAUUAUCUUUUUGGUUUUU